UGCCAGUGAUAAACUGGAGGAAGGUGGGGAUGACGUCAAGUCAUCAUGGCCCUUACGAGUAGGGCUACACACGUGCUACAAUGGCGCAUACAAAGAGAAGCGACCUCGCGAGAGCAAGCGGACCUCAUAAAGUGCGUCGUAGUCCGGAUUGGAGUCUGCAACUCGACUCCAUGAAGUCGGAAUCGCUAGUAAUCGUGGAUCAGAAUGCCACGGUGAAUACGUUCCCGGGCCUUGUACACACCGCCCGUCACACCAUGGGAGUGGGUUGCAAAAGAAGUAGGUAGCUUAACCUUCGGGAGGGCGCUUACCACUUUGUGAUUCAUGACUGGGGUGAAGUCGUAACAAGGUAACCGUAGGGGAACCUGCGGUUGGAUCACCUCCUUACCUUAAAG
rnacentral:rRNA from 1 species